CUAUCUGCAGUCGAGCGGACAGAAGGGAGCUUGCUCCCGGAUGUUAGCGGCGGACGGGUGAGUAACACGUGGGUAACCUGCCUGUAAGACUGGGAUAACUCCGGGAAACCGGAGCUAAUACCGGAUAGUUCCUUGAACCGCAUGGUUCAAGGAUGAAAGACGGUUUCGGCUGUCACUUACAGAUGGACCCGCGGCGCAUUAGCUAGUUGGUGGGGUAAUGGCUCACCAAGGCGACGAUGCGUAGCCGACCUGAGAGGGUGAUCGGCCACACUGGGACUGAGACACGGCCCAGACUCCUACGGGAGGCAGCAGUAGGGAAUCUUCCGCAAUGGACGAAAGUCUGACGGAGCAACGCCGCGUGAGUGAUGAAGGUUUUCGGAUCGUAAAGCUCUGUUGUUAGGGAAGAACAAGUGCGAGAGUAACUGCUCGCACCUUGACGGUACCUAACCAGAAAGCCACGGCUAACUACGUGCCAGCAGCCGCGGUAAUACGUAGGUGGCAAGCGUUGUCCGGAAUUAUUGGGCGUAAAGGGCUCGCAGGCGGUUUCUUAAGUCUGAUGUGAAAGCCCCCGGCUCAACCGGGGAGGGUCAUUGGAAACUGGGAAACUUGAGUGCAGAAGAGGAGAGUGGAAUUCCACGUGUAGCGGUGAAAUGCGUAGAGAUGUGGAGGAACACCAGUGGCGAAGGCGACUCUCUGGUCUGUAACUGACGCUGAGGAGCGAAAGCGUGGGGAGCGAACAGGAUUAGAUACCCUGGUAGUCCACGCCGUAAACGAUGAGUGCUAAGUGUUAGGGGGUUUCCGCCCCUUAGUGCUGCAGCUAACGCAUUAAGCACUCCGCCUGGGGAGUACGGUCGCAAGACUGAAACUCAAAGGAAUUGACGGGGGCCCGCACAAGCGGUGGAGCAUGUGGUUUAAUUCGAAGCAACGCGAAGAACCUUACCAGGUCUUGACAUCCUCUGACAACCCUAGAGAUAGGGCUUUCCCUUCGGGGACAGAGUGACAGGUGGUGCAUGGUUGUCGUCAGCUCGUGUCGUGAGAUGUUGGGUUAAGUCCCGCAACGAGCGCAACCCUUGAUCUUAGUUGCCAGCAUUUAGUUGGGCACUCUAAGGUGACUGCCGGUGACAAACCGGAGGAAGGUGGGGAUGACGUCAAAUCAUCAUGCCCCUUAUGACCUGGGCUACACACGUGCUACAAUGGACAGAACAAAGGGCUGCGAGACCGCAAGGUUUAGCCAAUCCCAUAAAUCUGUUCUCAGUUCGGAUCGCAGUCUGCAACUCGACUGCGGAAGCGGAAUCGCUAGUAUCGCGA
rnacentral:rRNA from 1 species